ACUCGCUAGCUCCUCCCACACACGGCUCAAUAAUCACCAGCCGAGCUGUCACUCCCCUCUUAACUUGAGAAAACCCCAAGGUAAACUUUAGGAAGAGGGCUGAAAGUUUUUAGCAACUGAAUGUAGUCGUUUAAUAAAAUAAUCGCUGCAAAAUGAACGACAUGACAUCUGAAGCAACACGAGGAAUGAAGUCUUCGCUUUGACGCGCAACGCAACGUAAAAAUGGACGGGACGCGCAGGUUCAUUUUGGGAAUACUAGCUGUUGUCCUAUGCAAAUACUCCCAAGCUGAAUGGAAUACCACAAAUACACCAGCGAAUAGGACUGUGUCCUGUGAUCUACAUGACAACUGCACAGGUCAGUCAAAUUGAAUGGACAAGUGCUGAGGAUGGUGGAUGACCGAACACUUCCUCCACUGAAGGGAAGUGAGCUGCCGCCUGGAGAACGCAUCAAGCUGCCUGGGUUCUCAUUUGCAUUCUAUGUUCUGAUUGAAGCAGAAGCGCCGGUAUGCAAAUGAGCUCUCAUAAAGAAUCAGGGACACAAAAUGU